GUGAAGGGGACUAAAAAAUUUAUAGCAGACCCUCCCUCCCAGACCCUCCCACCUCCUGGACAGCAUCCAUUUUGAAGCUGCAUUCUUAGUGAGCUGUCCAGGAGGUGGGAGGGUCUGGGAGGGAGGGUCUGCUGCUGAUUGGAAUG